rnacentral:rRNA from 1 species
GUGCCAGCAGCCGCGGUAAAACGUAGGAGGCGAGCGUUAUCCGGAGUUACUGGGCGUAAAGCGCGCGCAGGCGGUUCGUUAAGUCGGGCGUGAAAGCCCCAUGCUAAACGUGGGGAGGACGAACGAUACUGGCGAACUAGAGUAGAGCAGAGGGACAUGGAAUUCCGGGUGUAGCGGUGAAAUGUGCAGAUAUCCGGAGGAACACCAGAGGUGAAAACGGUGUCCUGGGCUCAUACUGACGCUGAGGUGCGAAAGCGUGGGGAGCGAACGGGAUUAGAAACCCCAGUAGUCC